rnacentral:rRNA from 1 species
CGUGAAAUUACGCCUACAUGAAGCCGGAAUUGCUAGUAAUGGCAGGUCAGCAUACUGCCGUGAAUACGUUCCCGGGCCUUGUACACACCGCCCGUCACACCAUGAGAGUUGGGAAUACCCGAAGCCUGUGAGCUAACUUAUAGAGGCAGCAGUCGAAGGUAGAAUCAAUGAUUGGGGUGAAGUCGUAACAAGGUAAC